rnacentral:rRNA from 1 species
AGAGUUUGAUCAUGGCUCAGGACGAACGCUGGCGGCGUGCCUAACACAUGCAAAGUCGAACGGAGAUAUGAUUUCGGUUAUAUCUUAGUGGCGAACGGGUGAGUAACGCGUGAGCAACCUGACUCUUAGAGGGGGAUAACACUCGGAAACGAGUGCUAAUACCGCAUAAGACCACGACAUGGCAUCAUGACGAGGUCAAAGGAGCAAUCCGCUGAGAGAGGGGCUCGCGUCCCAUUAGAUAGAUGGCGGGGUAACGGCCCACCAUGUCAACGAUGGGUAGCCGAGCUGAGAGGCUGAUCGGCCACACUGGAACUGAVACACGGUCCAGACUCCUACGGGAGGCAGCAGUGAGGAAUUUUGCGCAAUGGGGGCAACCCUGACGCAGCAACGCCGCGUGGAUGAUGAAGGCCCUUGGGUCGUAAAAUCCUGUCAGAUGGAAAGAAAUGUACAGGUGUUAAUAUCGCCUGUAUUUGACGGUACCAUCAAAGGAAGCACCGGCUAACUCCGUGCCAGCCGCCGCGGUAAUA